AAGUCGUAACAAGGUUUCCGUAGGUGAACCUGCGGAAGGAUCAUUACCGAGUGCGGGUCCUUUGGGCCCAACCUCCCAUCCGUGUCUAUUGUACCCUGUUGCUUCGGCGGGCCCGCCGGAGACCCCAACACGAACACUGUCUGAAAGCGUGCAGUCUGAGUUGAUUGAAUGCAAUCAGUUAAAACUUUCAACAAUGGAUCUCUUGGUUCCG
rnacentral:misc_RNA from 1 species